CAGUCGCCACGGGAAUACGAAGGGGGCUAGCGUUGCUCGGAAUUACUGGGCGUAAAGGGAGCGUAGGCGGACAUUUAAGUCAGGGGUGAAAUCCCAGAGCUCAACUCUGGAACUGCCUUUGAUACUGGGUGUCUUGAGUGUGAUAGAGGUAUGUGGAACUCCGAGUGUAGAGGUGAAAUUCGUAGAUAUUCGGAAGAACACCAGUGGCGAAGGCGACAUACUGGAUCAUUACUGACGCUGAGGCUCGAAAGCGUGGGGAGCAAACAGGAUUAGAGACCCCUGUAGUCCCUGUCUCUUAUAC
rnacentral:rRNA from 1 species